UACGAGUCUCUCGCAGUCUCAAAACCAACCUUACAACUCUGAGCGGUGGAUCACUUGGCUUGUGGAUGCUAUGAAGACCAUAGCUAAGUGUGAGAAUGGCAGCGAGCCGUCGCUAUAUGCGCUGUCCUCUUCUUAUCACAUGUCGAAUGCACAUUGCGCCCCACCCAGCGGUCGGCUAACCUCCUGCAGACAAAAGCCUGUGUGCUUGGAGCAAAGGUUGAUGUGUGGCCCUCGAGCAACGGCGGGGGAGCCAGGAGCACAUUGACGUGCGUUCCAGCCACUCGUGAGUAGUCAGGCUGAACCCCAUGGUGGGGCACUCCUAGUCGAGUGUGGUGGAUCGGGCUCUUCUCCUAUCGUGCUUUUGUUUACGCGAAGGAGUUUGAGUUUCUUUGUUGCUGGUGGCUAUUCUGGUCGACAUCAGUCGUGCCUGUAAAAACCUGCCUUGGCUCGUGCCUCUGUGCGUUUAACUUACGCGGUUGCGCAUAUCGAAAGGCCAUAGCUGGCGAUCACUCGUGCGGCCAGGGCUACACCUAAUGCCAGGUUCCUUUUUGGAUAAUGGCCGGUGUAGCGCAGAGGUCCAAAAGUUCGGAAUACGUUAACGUUCGAGAGACGGGUCUGUGUUUCUCAGUCUCCCUCAUGCACAGCGAGUGGUGUACGAUACUUAACCAAACAUGCUUGUCACUCACUCACUCACUCAGCCGCCCGUCCUGAUCACGCGCUUAUCCGGCCAAGGCUCGUUUCUCUUACUAUCCGAGAACGACACACGAGACCUACAUCUUUCGUUCAUGCUGGUUGUCCGACAAACGCCUGACGAGUUCAGGAAGGAUUUUCCACGUGUGGACGGAGUAACGGAUUUGACGCGCAGUAUCGUACCACUCCCUUCACUGUGUGUCUGCGAAGAAUAGAAUCAGACCCGCCAUCUCGACUUUGCAUAUGUAUGCCACCACCUCGACUUAGGAGAGGAUACCCGCUGAACUUAAGCAUAUCAGUAAGCGGAGGAAAAGAAACCAAUCAGGGAUUCCCUUAGUAGGGGCGACCGAAAAGGGAUGAGCCCAGCGCAGAACCUCCCGGGCCACCCGGCCUGCGGCGGAAUGUUGCGUUAAGGGAAAGGUCGUAGUCAAACCCCACAGCCACGCGAGCACUAAGUAAGUCACGAAUUGGCUAUCCCAACUAACGGAGGGAGCAUCUCCACGGAGGGUGUCAGACCCGUGUGGGCGCGUGUAAAUGCUGUGUGGGCUCGGCCUCUUUUCCCUGAGAGUCGCGUUGCUUGAGCAUGCAGCGCUAAGCAGGUCGUAAACUCGAUCUAAGGCUAAAUAUGUCCACAAGACCGAUAGUGAACAAGUACCGUGAGGGAAAGUUGAAAAGCACUCUGAAGAGAGAGUCAAAAGACCGUGAAACCGCUC
rnacentral:rRNA from 1 species